GGGUUGUGAGGUUAAGCGACUAAGCGUACACGGUGGAUGCCCUGGCAGUCAGAGGCGAUGAAGGACGUGCUAAUCUGCGAUAAGCGUCGGUAAGGUGAUAUGAACCGUUAUAACCGGCGAUUUCCGAAUGGGGAAACCCAGUGUGUUUCGACACACUAUCAUUAACUGAAUCCAUAGGUUAAUGAGGCGAACCGGGGGAACUGAAACAUCUAAGUACCCCGAGGAAAAGAAAUCAACCGAGAUUCCCCCAGUAGCGGCGAGCGAACGGGGAGCAGCCCAGAGCCUGAAUCAGUAUGUGUGUUAGUGGAAGCGUCUGGAAAGGCGCGCGAUACAGGGUGACAGCCCCGUACACAAAAAUGCACAUGCUGUGAGCUCGAUGAGUAGGGCGGGACACGUGGUAUCCUGUCUGAAUAUGGGGGGACCAUCCUCCAAGGCUAAAUACUCCUGACUGACCGAUAGUGAACCAGUACCGUGAGGGAAAGGCGAAAAGAACCCCGGCGAGGGGAGUGAAAAAGAACCUGAAACCGUGUACGUACAAGCAGUGGGAGCACGCUUAGGCGUGUGACUGCGUACCUUUUGUAUAAUGGGUCAGCGACUUAUAUUCUGUAGCAAGGUUAACCGAAUAGGGGAGCCGAAGGGAAACCGAGUCUUAACUGGGCGUUAAGUUGCAGGGUAUAGACCCGAAACCCGGUGAUCUAGCCAUGGGCAGGUUGAAGGUUGGGUAACACUAACUGGAGGACCGAACCGACUAAUGUUGAAAAAUUAGCGGAUGACUUGUGGCUGGGGGUGAAAGGCCAAUCAAACCGGGAGAUAGCUGGUUCUCCCCGAAAGCUAUUUAGGUAGCGCCUCGUGAAUUCAUCUCCGGGGGUAGAGCACUGUUUCGGCAAGGGGGUCAUCCCGACUUACCAACCCGAUGCAAACUGCGAAUACCGGAGAAUGUUAUCACGGGAGACACACGGCGGGUGCUAACGUCCGUCGUGAAGAGGGAAACAACCCAGACCGCCAGCUAAGGUCCCAAAGUCAUGGUUAAGUGGGAAACGAUGUGGGAAGGCCCAGACAGCCAGGAUGUUGGCUUAGAAGCAGCCAUCAUUUAAAGAAAGCGUAAUAGCUCACUGGUCGAGUCGGCCUGCGCGGAAGAUGUAACGGGGCUAAACCAUGCACCGAAGCUGCGGCAGCGACGCUGAUGCGUUGUUGGGUAGGGGAGCGUUCUGUAAGCCUGCGAAGGUGUGCUGUGAGGCAUGCUGGAGGUAUCAGAAGUGCGAAUGCUGACAUAAGUAACGAUAAAGCGGGUGAAAAGCCCGCUCGCCGGAAGACCAAGGGUUCCUGUCCAACGUUAAUCGGGGCAGGGUGAGUCGACCCCUAAGGCGAGGCCGAAAGGCGUAGUCGAUGGGAAACAGGUUAAUAUUCCUGUACUUGGUGUUACUGCGAAGGGGGGACGGAGAAGGCUAUGUUGGCCGGGCGACGGUUGUCCCGGUUUAAGCGUGUAGGCUGGUUUUCCAGGCAAAUCCGGAAAAUCAAGGCUGAGGCGUGAUGACGAGGCACUACGGUGCUGAAGCAACAAAUGCCCUGCUUCCAGGAAAAGCCUCUAAGCAUCAGGUAACAUCAAAUCGUACCCCAAACCGACACAGGUGGUCAGGUAGAGAAUACCAAGGCGCUUGAGAGAACUCGGGUGAAGGAACUAGGCAAAAUGGUGCCGUAACUUCGGGAGAAGGCACGCUGAUAUGUAGGUGAAGUCCCUCGCGGAUGGAGCUGAAAUCAGUCGAAGAUACCAGCUGGCUGCAACUGUUUAUUAAAAACACAGCACUGUGCAAACACGAAAGUGGACGUAUACGGUGUGACGCCUGCCCGGUGCCGGAAGGUUAAUUGAUGGGGUUAGCGCAAGCGAAGCUCUUGAUCGAAGCCCCGGUAAACGGCGGCCGUAACUAUAACGGUCCUAAGGUAGCGAAAUUCCUUGUCGGGUAAGUUCCGACCUGCACGAAUGGCGUAAUGAUGGCCAGGCUGUCUCCACCCGAGACUCAGUGAAAUUGAACUCGCUGUGAAGAUGCAGUGUACCCGCGGCAAGACGGAAAGACCCCGUGAACCUUUACUAUAGCUUGACACUGAACAUUGAGCCUUGAUGUGUAGGAUAGGUGGGAGGCUUUGAAGUGUGGACGCCAGUCUGCAUGGAGCCGACCUUGAAAUACCACCCUUUAAUGUUUGAUGUUCUAACGUUGACCCGUAAUCCGGGUUGCGGACAGUGUCUGGUGGGUAGUUUGACUGGGGCGGUCUCCUCCUAAAGAGUAACGGAGGAGCACGAAGGUUGGCUAAUCCUGGUCGGACAUCAGGAGGUUAGUGCAAUGGCAUAAGCCAGCUUGACUGCGAGCGUGACGGCGCGAGCAGGUGCGAAAGCAGGUCAUAGUGAUCCGGUGGUUCUGAAUGGAAGGGCCAUCGCUCAACGGAUAAAAGGUACUCCGGGGAUAACAGGCUGAUACCGCCCAAGAGUUCAUAUCGACGGCGGUGUUUGGCACCUCGAUGUCGGCUCAUCACAUCCUGGGGCUGAAGUAGGUCCCAAGGGUAUGGCUGUUCGCCAUUUAAAGUGGUACGCGAGCUGGGUUUAGAACGUCGUGAGACAGUUCGGUCCCUAUCUGCCGUGGGCGCUGGAGAACUGAGGGGGGCUGCUCCUAGUACGAGAGGACCGGAGUGGACGCAUCACUGGUGUUCGGGUUGUCAUGCCAAUGGCACUGCCCGGUAGCUAAAUGCGGAAGAGAUAAGUGCUGAAAGCAUCUAAGCACGAAACUUGCCCCGAGAUGAGUUCUCCCUGACUCCUUGAGAGUCCUGAAGGAACGUUGAAGACGACGACGUUGAUAGGCCGGGUGUGUAAGCGCAGCGAUGCGUUGAGCUAACCGGUACUAAUGAACCGUGAGGCUUAACCUUACAACGCCGAAGCUGUU
rnacentral:rRNA from 4 species